AUGCCUAGGUGGUCAGUCCAGCUCCUGCAACCAACACAGGUCGUUACCCCCUUUGCCACAACGGCAGGAGCACAAAUACCAGUGUGGUCGUCCUCAACCAGUUCCUUCACGCGGCCUCCGCGCAAGCCCUGCUCAUGUAUGCUUACACUAAAAAUUAUACACUAUACACAUGGUACUUUUACUGGGACCAGAGUAUUACUUCCAGGCAACAUGACAAGCACCACAAAAGGUCUCUCCCUCCCUUGGCUCCUUGCAUUCCCUUCUCCUUGCAGACCAGGCCGGGCGCUGGGCCAACCACUUCGUCUGUCUACCUCCUUCCCCGAGAAGUUACCCUAUUGCGGGCUGACCUGGAGGCGGCUCCUCCACAUCGACACAAUUGCACGACCAACGUGCUACUGA
rnacentral:rRNA from 1 species